rnacentral:rRNA from 1 species
UACGAAGGGUGCAAGCGUUAAUCGGAAUUACUGGGCGUAAAGCGUGCGUAGGCGGUUUGUUAAGUCUGCUGUGAAAUCCCCGGGCUUAACCUGGGAAUGGCAUUGGAAACUGGCUCGCUGGAGUGUGGCAGAGGGGGGUGGAAUUCCGCGUGUAGCAGUGAAAUGCGUAGAGAUGCGGAGGAACACCGAUGGCGAAGGCAGCCCCCUGGGCUAACACUGACGCUCAGGCACGAAAGCGUGGGGAGCAAACAGG